rnacentral:lncRNA from 1 species
UUUCUGAAAAAAGAAAAAAACAAGAAUGUGUCCAUAGUACACGAAUGCCCCACUCGCACUAUCAUUUUCUAUGUUCAGUGGACCGUGAAAUUGGGGUCAAAACUUUAAUUUGGAAUUAAAAUUAGAAAGAUCAUAUCAUAGGGAACAUGUGUACUAAGUUUCAAGUUGAUGUAACUUUAACUUCAUCAAAAACUACCUUGACCAAAAACUUUAACCUGAACUUCGCACUAUCAUUUUCUAUGUUCAGUGGACCAUGAAAUUGGGGUCAAAACUGUAAUUUGGCAUUAAAAUUAGAAAGAUCAUAUCAUGGAGAACAAGUGUACUAAGUUUCAAGUUGAUUGGACUUCAACUUCUUCAAAAACUACCUUGACCAAAAUCUUAGGUCCGAGAACACAAUUAAUUCGUAGUGCAUUUCUUUUAGAACAUAAAUGAAAAUUAAAAAAAUCCCACCUGCGCUUUCUCAAUGAAAUGUUUACAGUGUGUUGUACUACUUUUGGGACAAAUUAUAUCAAAAUUAUAGAAAACUUCAUCGCCUCAAACUCAAAAUAUGGACAAUUUUGUGUUUAGGGUGUCUUGAAAUCUUUUGACAGCUUCCGAAGUGCUAAUUUUUAACCUUUUUCAGCUGGACCGAAUCACUACUUUCCUGUAAAAUUCUGGACCCAAAUUUUUUUACAGUGUAAUUUCACCCCCCUACUUACAAUUUGAGGCAUUAAACAUGGAGAAAUAAAUUUGGAAGGGGUAUAAAAAUUAUUGGCAAGUAACCCACUGUUAACACUAGGGACUAUAUUCGUGAACAACGAAAAUCAAGGGACGACAAUUGUGGUCUCGGACCAAAAAC